UGGGGAAUUUUGGACAAUGGGGGCAACUCUGAUCCAGCCAUCCCGCGUGUGCGAUGAAGGCCUUCGGGUUGUAAAGCACUUUUGGCAGGGAAGAAACAGCCUGGGAUAAUACCCCGGGCGACUGACGGUACCUGCAGAAUAAGCACCGGCUAACUACGUGCCAGCAGCCGCGGUAAUACGUAGGGUGCAAGCGUUAAUCGGAAUUACUGGGCGUAAAGCGUGCGCAGGCGGUUCGGAAAGAAAGGUGUGAAAUCCCAGGGCUUAACCUUGGAACUGCACUUUUAACUACCGAGCUAGAGUACGUCAGAGGGGGGUAGAAUUCCACGUGUAGCAGUGAAAUGCGUAGAGAUGUGGAGGAAUACCGAUGGCGAAGGCAGCCCCCUGGGAUGAUACUGACGCUCAUGCACGAAAGCGUGGGGAGCAAACAGGAUUAGAUACCCUGGUAGUCCACGCCCUAAACGAUGUCAACUAGCUGUUGGGGUUUAUUAACCUUAGUAGCGCAGCUAACGCGUGAAGUUGACCGCCUGGGGAGUACGGUCGC
rnacentral:rRNA from 1 species